rnacentral:rRNA from 1 species
CCUACGGGAGGCUGCAGUGAGGAAUAUUGGUCAAUGGCCGGAAGGCUGAACCAGCCAUGCCGCGUGAAGGUCAGUGCCCUAUGGGCGUUAAACUUCUUUUGUGCGGGAGCAAUAAUGGUCACGUGUGGCCAGACGAGAGUACCGUACGAAUAAGCAUCGGCUAACUCCGUGCCAGCAGCCGCGGUAAUACGGGGGAUGCAAGCGUUAUCCGGAUUUAUUGGGUUUAAAGGGUGCGUAGGCUGUGAGGUAAGUCAGCGGUGAAAUGCCCCCGCUCAACGGGGUGAAGUGCCAUUGAUACUGCCUUGCUGGAAUGCGGAUGCCGUGGGAGGAAUGCGUGGUGUAGCGGUGAAAGGCGUAGAUAUUAGGAGGAACACCAGUGGCGAAGGCAGCCUGCUGGGCUUUUACUGACGCUGAGGCUCGAAAGUGUGGGGAGCAAACAGGAUUAGAUACCCGGGUAGUC